UACGUAGGGGGCAAGCGUUAUCCGGAUUUACUGGGUGUAAAGGGAGCGUAGACGGCGAUGCAAGCCAGAUGUGAAAGCCCGGGGCUCAACCCCGGGACUGCAUUUGGAACUGUGUGGCUGGAGUGUCGGAGAGGCAAGUGGAAUUCCUAGUGUAGCGGUGAAAUGCGUAGAUAUUAGGAGGAACACCAGUGGCGAAGGCGGCUUGCUGGACGAUGACUGACGUUGAGGCUCGAAAGCGUGGGGAGCAAAUAGG
rnacentral:rRNA from 1 species